rnacentral:rRNA from 1 species
UACGUAGGGGGCAAGCGUUGUCCGGAUUUAUUGGGCGUAAAGAGCGUGUAGGCGGCUUUACAGGUCCGUUGUGAAAACUCGAGGCUCAACCUCGAGACGCCGGUGGAAACCGUAUGGCUAGAGUCCGGAAGAGGAGAGUGGAAUUCCUGGUGUAGCGGUGAAAUGCGCAGAUAUCAGGAAGAACACCAAUGGCGAAGGCAGCUCUCUGGGACGGUACUGACGCUGAGACGCGAAAGCGUGGGGAGCGAACAGG